UUGUCAUUGUUAGGGCCCACCCUGAUUCAUUAUGAUCUCAUCUGGAUCCUUACCUGAAUUACAGCUGCACAGACCCUAUUUCCAGAUAAGUUCCCAUUGUAAUAUCCUGGUUUCUCUUCAGAUUGUAUAAAUCUUUUGUCUUUUACAAAUAAGGUCCCAUUGUAAGGUUCCAGGUUGACAUGAAUCUUAGGGGACACUUUAGCCCACGAGGCUGCCUCAUACUACUGUGAGGUUGGGUCCCGUAAAGCACAGAGCAAGGUUCAGAGAGCUCUGUUAGGUAGAGGUGGGAAGCACAGGUGGUAGGAGCAGCCCCCUUACUACAUGUGAAAACUGAGGCUGUAGGGAAACUUUGGGUCCCACUGCUAAUAAGUGACAGAAAGAAGCAGAUUAAUUUCUAGUUCUGUGAAGGCCAUUCAACAACUGUAUUUUGGGCAUCUUUGUGCCAGCUCACGGUUUGGUGGGAAAAUCAGGCCAUCCUCCUCCUCAUCAUCAUUGCCACCACAGGCUGGGUAAUCAAUGUAGUGAACCCCAUUGAGAAAAGGGUACCCUGGAGGGCUUGUGAGAGGAAGAAUUGUCUUAGCCAAGAUCGAGGGGUGUUGAAGACUUAGCAAGGGAAACCAUGUAAAAGACAGGGAGUUAGGAUACUUUUCAAAGGCAUGUGCAAAGGCCUGGAGGCCACCCUGGGCUUCCUGUGAGCCUGAGCUGGUCAAGGACAAAGUCGGUAGACCUUCCAUUAAGUAUGAAAUGAAUUAUAGAUGGGGAAACAAAGGCGCCAAGGUACUUCAAGUCCAAUAGCAAAUACUGCAGAGUUAAGACACGAACUCACUCCUCUGUUUUCCUACCCAGGUCUCUUCUUGUCUGCCCUGGGAACUCUGUCCUGGAGAAAAAGCUUCCUUCCUUCUUGCCGAGCUGUGUCCUGGCCUUGCUCAGACAACAGAAGAGUCAGGUGGAGCUAGGAUUCUCCGCAGAGCUUGGGGUCCACAGCCAAGGCUCUGCACCAAUCCCAGGCCAGGCUUUCCAGGAGGUCUGGCUAAACCGGGCCCAAAUUCGCACAGGGCAACUCUGGGCUGGAGCAGGGGGGAAAGGUCUUCCCUCUUGGAGCAGAAAUGUGUUCUCUUGCUCAGUGAUGUUACUUCCCUGGACUUGUUGGUUUUCAGUAAGAACGACAGCCCUAAAAGAAUGACAAACAUUGAAGAGGUAUUUACAAAGAACAAGUGCUUAAUCUGCCUCAUUUUAUUUUAGCCACACAAGAACGAUGUCAGGGCAGGGCCGGAUAUCGCGCUAUUUUACAGGAAAGAAAACCUAGCCUCCUUGGGAUGAAGUGACUUGCCCAAGGUCACAGAGCUGAGGAGCAGUAGAGCCAAAAGAAUUCAAAUCCCUCCACUCCCAGGCCCUGUCUCCCUUCCUUCCCUGCCACGGUGGUGGGGGAGGGGGUAGUUCACAGACUCUCUUCCCUGUCUCCCUCAGAAGGUGCCAUGUGACCACAUGCUCUGGUCCAAAGAGGAGGCCAACUGUCUCAGGAAUCUUCCUCUGAGAACAAGAAGUCCACAGGCAACAGGAUCUAGAAUCAUCCAGUGUGACCGGGAACGGAGCGGUGGUGUCAGAACCAUGUAGCAGGGUCAGGCUCCUAGCUCCUUCCAAGAGGCUUUUGAAGCUUGGGCGGCUAUGUGGGGGACACUUGGUUCCAUCACAGAAGGUGUGGACAAAGGUACAAUGAUUCUGUGGUCAGAAAUUUGGAAAGGGCCCAGUGGAAACCACUUGUCUGUUCCAGGAUAACUGGGGCCUCAGCUGCAAAGACCUGAAGGCUGGUGAUUGCUUCAACGGCUGGAAUCAUCUGGAGACCUCUUCAGUCCUUCGGUAUACGUGGUGGUUGGUGCUGGUUAUUGGCUGGGACCUCCUCUGGGACUGUCAGCAGGUGCACAGACCCUCUCCGCGUGGCUUGGGCUUCCUCUGGGCACGGGAGCCUCAGUGUAGUCCAAGCUCAGGGCUCUGAAAGGGAUUGCCCCUGCCAGCUUCCUGGAAGGUGCACUAAUUAUGUUUAGGACCUUGUCUUAGAGGUCACGCACUGCAUUUUACUGUUUAUGAGUUGUAGGUUCAAGGGGAGGGGAAAAGACUCCAUCUCUUGAUGAGAGCAUUGCUUGUUCUAAAAGACCAUGGAGGGGACACCUGGAUGGCUCAGUUGGUUAAGUA